CCUACGGGUGGCAGCAGUGAGGAAUAUUGGUCAAUGGUCGGGAGACUGAACCAGCCAAGCCGCGUGCGGGAGGACGGCACAGUGUAUUGUAAACCUCUUUUGUCAGGGAACAAACACUGGUACGUGUCCCCGUCUGAGUGUAUCUUACGAAUAAGCAUCGGCUAACUCCGUGCCAGCAGCCGCGGUAAUACGGAGGAUUCGAGCGUUAUCCGGAUUUAUUGGGUUUAAAGGGUGCGUAGGCGGUCUGUUAAGUGAGCGGUACAACCCCGGGGCUCAACUCCGGCCUUGCCUUUGACACUGGCAGGCUCGAGAGGGAGAGAAGUAGGCGGAAUGCGCGGUGUAGCGGUGAAAUGCUUAGAUAUCGCACAGAACUCCGAUUGCGAAGGCAGCAUGCCGGGUCAACUCUGACGCUGAGGCACGAAAGCGUGGGUAUCGAACAGGAUUAGAUACCCCUGUAGUC
rnacentral:rRNA from 1 species